AUUGAACGCUGGCGGCAUGCUUUACACAUGCAAGUCGAACGGUAACAGGCCGCAAGGUGCUGACGAGUGGCGAACGGGUGAGUAAUGCAUCGGAACGUGCCCAGUCGUGGGGGAUAACGCAGCGAAAGCUGCGCUAAUACCGCAUACGAUCUAGGGAUGAAAGCGGGGGACCGUAAGGCCUCGCGCGAUUGGAGCGGCCGAUGUCAGAUUAGGUAGUUGGUGGGGUAAAGGCUCACCAAGCCAACGAUCUGUAGCUGGUCUGAGAGGACGACCAGCCACACUGGGACUGAGACACGGCCCAGACUCCUACGGGAGGCAGCAGUGGGGAAUUUUGGACAAUGGGCGCAAGCCUGAUCCAGCAAUGCCGCGUGCAGGAAGAAGGCCUUCGGGUUGUAAACUGCUUUUGUACGGAACGAAACGGUCCUGGUUAAUACCCGGGGCUAAUGACGGUACCGUAAGAAUAAGCACCGGCUAACUACGUGCCAGCCGCCGCAGUAAGAC
rnacentral:rRNA from 1 species